rnacentral:rRNA from 1 species
UACGUAGGGGGCAAGCGUUGUCCGGAAUCAUUGGGCGUAAAGAGCGUGUAGGCGGCCAGAUAAGUCCGCUGUGAAAUCUCGAGGCUCAACUUCGAGCUGUCGGUGGAAACUGUCUGGCUAGAGUCCGGAAGAGGAGAAUGGAAUUCCUGGUGUAGCGGUGAAAUGCGCAGAUAUCAGGAGGAACACCGGUGGUGUAGACGGCUCUCUGGGACGGUACUGACGCUGAGACGCGAAAGCGUGGGGAGCGAACAGG